CCUACGGGGGGCUGCAGUGGGGAAUAUUGGACAAUGGGCGAAAGCCUGAUCCAGCCAUGCCGCGUGUGUGAAGAAGGCCUUCGGGUUGUAAAGCACUUUCAGUGGGGAAGAAAGCCUUGGGGCUAAUACCCUCGAGGAAGGACAUCACCCACAGAAGAAGCACCGGCUAACUCCGUGCCAGCAGCCGCGGUAAUACGGAGGGUGCGAGCGUUAAUCGGAAUUACUGGGCGUAAAGCGCGCGUAGGCGGUCUGAUAAGCCGGUUGUGAAAGCCCCGGGCUCAACCUGGGAACGGCAUCCGGAACUGUCAGGCUAGAGUGCAGGAGAGGACGGUAGAAUUCCCGGUGUAGCGGUGAAAUGCGUAGAGAUCGGGAGGAAUACCAGUGGCGAAGGCGGCCGUCUGGACUGACACUGACGCUGAGGUGCGAAAGCGGGGGUAGCAAACAGGAUUAGAUACCCGAGUAGUC
rnacentral:rRNA from 1 species